rnacentral:tRNA from 1 species
GGAGAGGUGGCAGAGUGGUCGAAUGCACCGCACUCGAAAUGCGGCAUACCUGCAAGGGUACCGUGUGUUCAACUCCCACCCUUUCCGCCA